UACGUAGGGGGCAAGCUUUGUCCGGAAUUAUUGGGCGUAAAGCGCGCGCAGGCGGUUAUGUAAGUCUGAUGUUAAAGCCCGGGGGUCAACCUCGGUUCGCAUUGGAAACUGUGUAACUUGAGUGCAGAAGAGGAAAGUGGUAUUCCACGUGUAGCGGUGAAAUGCGUAGAUAUGUGGAGGAACGCAAGUGGCGAAGGCGACUUUCUGGUCUGUAACUGACGCUGAGGCGCGAAAGCGUGGGGAGCAAACAGG
rnacentral:rRNA from 1 species